ensembl:lncRNA
CAGCCUGCAAAGCAGAACAGCGCCCGCAGCCCCGCUGAGAACCCUGCGCAGCUGAAACCGAUCUCCCCUCAGACAGGCUGCUCUCCUCCCGCAGAGUGGUGGGCUUGGAGGAGGGGAGGGGUCCUUCUCCCUCCUCAGCAGCAGCUCCAGAACAUUCUCCCCCCACCCCCACCCCUUGAGUUGAUGCCAUUAGUUCAUCCUCUAUUCCUGGCUGCUGCUGUCGCCUCUGACUCUCAGCAUCCUGGCUCGUUUCCUGUCUUCAGCUCCUCGCUCACAGCUCCUCUCCCCAGCACCCCUCCCGCCACAGCUCUUCAGGAUUCCAACACGCGCUUUCCAACAGCCUGGCCUCUAAGCCCCCGGCGUCCCCUCCCCCGCUGCCCCCCCAUCCUCACCCCCACGGUUAAUGACCGUCCUUAACGGAUAAUGACCAGAGCCUGAUCUCAGUCCCGGGCACCCUGCUCUCGGAUUGCCACUUCCUGUCUUCCCAGCUCGUUUCCGCUGGUUUGUCAACAAUGCUUCAACUACGACCCAUCGAUCCUCCCACGUCUCACUCUUCCUCGUGCCCCUGUUGGCCCCGCUUCCCUCCGGGUUCAGCUGAGAUGCCACAGUCAAGCGCUGCUACCGACAAGGCCCCCAAACCUGCACCUUCCCUGACGGCUCUGGGCUUGGACGGAGCGCAUCACACCGGCUCCAGCAACACUGCCCUCCCUCGGCCUCCUGGACCCACAUGCCCCCGGAUUUCCUCGCACCCCAGCUGCUCUUCCCUGGUCUCCAUUUCAGGCGUGUCCUAACAUCGGGGUGCCUGGGCCCCGAUCGGCAGCCCUGCUUUUUCUGGUCUCCCCACCGCCCGGGCAGCCCAUCCAGCCUUAGGGCCUUGAGAUGCUGAUGAUGCUCCAGCGGGCCUCUCUCCCUCAGACUGCAGUGCCCAACGCCCACUUCCAGCCGUCUAAUCAAUAUCGCCUCGAGGAUGUGUAACUGCCACCUCCAACACGACAUAAGCUGAAUUUUGGACGUUUCCCUCCAGACCUGCUCUGCCCGCAGUCCCCUGCCUAUCCAACGGCAUUUCUGCUCCUCCAGGGGCUUGGGCCAAAGAUGCCCUCAUCUCCUGCCAGAGUCACUGUCACAGCCCAUCAGCUGGUCGUCUAGAUUCCUCUUUCCCACUUAGAGUCUCUUUUCCAUGCCACAGCCAGGACGAUCCUGUCCCUUCCCUGUCCCAAACCCUCCAGUUCACACAGAAUGAGAGCCAGAGCCCUGCCACCAUCUGCACACGCCCCAGCCCGCCACGCUCGCUCGCUUCUCAGGGCCUUGCCUGCUUCUCCUGCUGCCAGGGAUGCUCCCUCCAGGCACUUGCCUGGCUCCCUUCCCCCCAAACCUGCAGUCUCUGCACAGAGGUCAUCUCAACGAGGCCAGCCCUGACCACCACGUGGGAUCUGUGACUUCCUCCUCGCCGCGCAUGCUGCACCCUCUUUAUCGUAUUUAUUUUAUGCCUCCACCCAGACAUAUCGCCUUCCGACAGCAGCGGCCCUCAUUAUUUGAACUCACUAACCCAAAUGUGCUAUAAAUACCUGUAAACAUUUCUAUCUCAAACGCAUUAUCAGAAUUGCAAACAGUGUGUGGGUAACAGGAUGCAGAGGGCAGCACAGCACAGCCAGUUCUGGCACUUUUUUUUUUUUUUUUUUUAAGGGCUGCAUGUGCAGCAUACGGAAGUUCCCAGGCUAGGGGUCAGAUCGGAGCUGUAGCUGCCGGACUACACCACAGCCACAGCAACACCAGAUCUGAGCCGCAUCUGUGACCUACACCACAGCUCACAGCCACGCCGGAUCCUUAACCCAGUGAGGGGGACCAGGGAUCGAACCCUCAACCUCAUGGUUCCCAGUCGGAUUCGAUUCCGCUGAGCCACAAUGGGAACUCCACCCUUUUGUUUUCAAGAAUGGAUCUGAUUUCAAGGAGAGCCCGUAUGAAAUGUCCUUGUUUGUUGUGUUUAUUGCCUCUCUCCUACUUUUCAGGCGCAAGAUCUUUACACUCCUAAAGAUUAUGAGGACCCCAAAUAGCUUUUGUUUAAUGUAUGUAUAGCUGGUGAUAUUUACCAUGUUAGGAAGUAAAACUGAGAUAUGAC